UGGAAGUGGCGUUUGAUCCAGACAAACCGCUAAGUAGGGAUUUUGUUAGGGUCAAAGUCCGGUUUGAUGUCUCAAAACCUUUGAGAAGAUCGAAGAGAGGAUCAAGUCGGAAUCAAUAUUGCGAAUGGAAGACUCAGAACUGCAUCGGAUGUGUUGGAGAGUAUGAGACAGUAUUUGCUUAUUGCAAACUGAGAAGAAAGGAGACUGUGAGAAGAUAAAGUUAAGAAGUCGGUUGCAGAAGUGGAGAAGGACCCUAUAGCACAAAAAAAAAAACAAUUCUGCCACUAGAACCCCUUUCAAUCAUUUCUCGGGAUUUUAACAAAGACAAGGGGAGUGUAUUCGAUUAUGAUUCCACAUCGUCCUCUACAAAAUCUGCUCCAGCUCAUGACACAGGAUUAAAACUCAUGGACUCAACUAUCAGAGAAGAGGAAAAAAGAAGUUGUUCACAGGGGAACCUCUAUUCCUCUCAUGUCAUUGGGGAUGCGUUAUCUCAAGCUUUAAUACCUCAUUUUAAGUUUGAUUCAACGGCUGAAUAGAGGUGGUUUCUCUGAAGCUACUUCUUCCGGGAUCAAACCUAUAAAGAAAAGUCAAAGGAGGAGACCUUACAUUAGUAAACGUACUCCAAAGUAAGUGUUCCUCUAUUGCUGAAGCUACUAAAUCAGUGGGUCUGAAUGAAGGUCAAGUUGAGAAAAGGAAAGCUGACAAGGAAAUUGUGUAUAUUUCUAAAGCAGCAAAGAAGAACAAUUUCCUGAGAUUUUGUUUCUGAUGGAACCUAAAAAUUGUCGAAAUGUGCUAGUAGAUUUGCAAGGGUGGCUUGGUUAUGAUAGAGUUUACACAGUGGAGCCUGAAGGGUUGAGUGGUGGACUGACUCUGUUUUGGAAGAGCAGUGUUCAAGGUGGUUUUAACUUUUGUAAAUAAUAACAUACUUGACCUGCAGAUCCAGUUUGAAGAUGCUAAGUUUUUUUGUGUCUUGUAUAUAUGGGCAUCCGGCUGGCUAGUUUAGAUCAGAAGUUUGGGAAAGACUGAGUAGGAUUGGAUCACAGAGGAAGAGUAGUUGGUGCAUGCUAGGAGACUUAAUGAGAUUCUCCAUAAUGGAGAAAAAUUGGGUGGCCCUAGAAGAAGCAACAGUUCCUUCCAACCUUUUGUAGAUAUUGAAAGCUUGUGGAAU